ensembl:misc_RNA Metazoa_SRP Metazoan signal recognition particle RNA
GCCGGGUGUGGUGGUGCACACCUGUAAUCCCAGCUACUCUGGAGGCUGAGGCAGGAGAAUUGCUUGAACCCGGGAGGCGGAGGUUGCAGUGAGCCGAGAUCAUGCCAUUGCACUCCAGCCUGGGCAACAGGGCAAGACUCUGUCUCUA